GACAGAGGUGCCAAGCGUUAGGCGGAAUCACUGGGCUUAAAGCGUGUGUAGGCGGAAUGGUAAGUACCUUGUGAAAUCCCACGGCUCAACCGUGGAACUGCUGGGUAUACUGCUUUUCUUGAGCCACUUAGGGGCUGUCGGAACAAACGGUGGAGCGGUGAAAUGCGUAGAUAUCGAGAGGAACACCGGUGGCGAAGGCGGCCUUCUGGACAGUGACUGACGCUGAGACGCGAAAGCGUGGGGAGCAAACAGG
rnacentral:rRNA from 1 species